rnacentral:rRNA from 1 species
GACGAACGCUGGCGGCGUGCCUAAUACAUGCAAGUAGAACGCUGAAGGAGGAGCUUGCUUCUCUGGAUGAGUUGCGAACGGGUGAGUAACGCGUAGGUAACCUGCCUGGUAGCGGGGGAUAACUAUUGGAAACGAUAGCUAAUACCGCAUAAUAGUAGAUGUUGCAUGACAUUUGCUUAAAAGGUGCAAUUGCAUCACUACCAGAUGGACCUGCGUUGUAUUAGCUAGUUGGUGGGGUAACGGCUCACCAAGGCGACGAUACAUAGCCGCCCUGAGAGGGUGAUCGGCCACACUGGGACUGAGACACGGCCCAGACUCCUACGGGAGGCAGCAGUAGGGAAUCUUCGGCAAUGGACGGAAGUCUGACCGAGCAACGCCGCGUGAGUGAAGAAGGUUUUCGGAUCGUAAAGCUCUGUUGUAAGAGAAGAACGAGUGUGAGAGUGGAAAGUUCACACUGUGACGGUAUCUUACCAGAAAGGGACGGCUAACUACGUG